rnacentral:lncRNA from 1 species
GGGGAUGUAGUACAAUACAAAGACCCAGGGUUUAAUCCUGAGUACCGAAAAAAUACUUGUUAAAGUAAAAAAGAUACUUCUUAAAGAUACUAAGCAUAUAAGAGAUAUCAGGCCAGGAAUUUAGCUCAGCAGGACCGUGCCUGCCUAGCAAGCACAAGGUCCGGAAUUUGAACCCUGGUACCAAAAAAAUAGAGAUACCAUCUUUACUGCUUGAGUGACUGAUCGCUUGACAUCUUCCUGGUUUUGCCUCUCCUGCACUCAAGGCGCCUCGUGAUUUGCGCAGCAUUCUUGCUGAAGGAGGCCGGGUCACUGGCCUGACCGACUCCAUUUUGUUUCUCUGACUGACCCCGCGCUGCCUUUCUAUUUGUGUUUUGCUGUCCUCCAAGUUCUCUUGAGCCAUUGUCCCCUGGAUUUACCUUGGAUCCCAGUAACAAGACUAAUGGGUCAGCAUCUUAGGGCCAAAGGGCCAAGACUACUACGCCCUGAGCAAGUACGACCUGCCCAGUACUGCGACGCCAGCCCGAGAUGCCAAGAGCAGAGCAUGCGGAGUUACUUUGGAAAGGCCUUCUUCUCAGGAAGGGUUUGAAACCUGACCCUGUCUCCUGACCUGUACUAACGUCCAGUUUGUCACUGCUUCUCACUUGGAGCCCUGAAAAGCUUCGUGUACCC